rnacentral:lncRNA from 1 species
AUAUUUACAAUCAUAAAUCACUCAGAAUUUUUAUAAAUAAUCUAACGUUGAGGGUAUGGAUUCAAGUCUCAGUAUAGAUUUAGUGCUGGGACUUGACUCCCCCGUAUAAUGGAGUUAGUUGACUUUCCUCAUUAAGAUAGAAUUAACCUCUUUUUAAUUUAUAGUGAGAUUAAUAUUCAGACUUGCACGUAAGUCAUAAAAUAAAUUAACGCAGUCUGUGCAUGGUCAUUGUUAGACAAAUGUAUGAAUUUUGCAUUGAAUAGUCAUAGAGCAAAUCCACUACAUGUCUGUCUCCCAUUGGCUGUGGCUGCCCACAUCUCCCAUGAUUUUUUUUUUGUUUUAAAUUUUGUUCCCAAUUAAUUUAAUGUUCUCUAGAUUAAGAUGUUCGACAAUUUAAUAACACAUUGGAGACAGUACUCUUGCAAGGUAGCUGGAUCCUUUUUCAAGGUAAAAGAUUUUAAUAAAUUCUUUUGAAACUCGAUCUCACAAGCUCAACCAUCCUUUUUGUCCGUAAUUUGUUAUCGAAGGAUCUAUGCACAAACUUACGGCCCAUACGGGACCGUAUUUAAGAGUUGAAUUGGACAAUAUUACAACUAACACGCAGUUCUCUGUUUUGACUUGAGUUAUACUAUAUACACCCCAAUUAUAUUUGGCUUACACCCCCGUUUCGAAAUAAGGCGCUGUUAUUUUAUUUAUAUGUUGUACCCUGCUUUUCUGGACUUAACACGUCGGCAGGAAGUUGAAACCAAGUAAGACAAUAAGGUUACGUUUGACACGUUGAAUUGAAUUGGACUAAUUAUUAGGAUUGGACUAGAUUAAGUUGGAUUAAAUUAAAUUGGAUUAUAUUAUGUGUUGUAUUAUGUUUGGUACAAUAUUAGAUUGGACAAUGUUAAAUCAUAUUUAAAUACAAAAAAAAUAUUU